rnacentral:rRNA from 1 species
UACGUAGGUGGCAAGCGUUGUCCGGAUUUACUGGGUGUAAAGGGCGUGUAGCCGGGGAGACAAGUCAGAUGUGAAAUGUGGAGGCUCAACCUCCAAACUGCAUUUGAAACUGUUUCUCUUGAGUAUCGGAGAGGUAAUCGGAAUUCCUAGUGUAGCGGUGAAAUGCGUAGAUAUUAGGAAGAACACCAGUGGCGAAGGCGGAUUACUGGACGACAACUGACGGUGAGGCGCGAAAGCGUGGGGAGCAAACAGG